GGACCUCUUUUCUUUGUGACUCUGCUCUCACCAAUGUAUUCCUCAGGCAUCAAAGACAGAACUACAUCCCGGACAGCUCGGUUGCGUAAUAUGAUGAGCCCACAAGUAAGUCCUUGGCUCUUCGCCAAGUAAGUUGUUUCUAGUCUCUCAUAUCAGCAAAGACAGUUUUCACAUUUCAGAGUCCAUGGCCGAUAAAUCUACCAACAAUAUUGAGUUGAAGGUGAUAAGGGGAGUAACAAAGUUAUCUUCAUAGAGCCUGAGA